rnacentral:rRNA from 1 species
GAAUUUUUCGCAAUGGGCGCAAGCCUGACGAAGCAACGCCGCGUGGAGGAUGAAGGUCUUCGGAUUGUAAACUCCUGUCGACCGGGACGAAUGCACUCGACCUAAUACGUCGGAAUGUUGACGGUACCGGUGGAGGACGCCACGGCUACCUCCGUUCCAGCCGCCGCGGUAAUACAGAGGUGGCAAGCGUUGUUCGGAAUUACUGGGCGUAAAGGGCGCGUAGGCGGCCUUGUAAGUCUCGUGUGAAAGCCCUCGGCUCAACGGAGGAUCUGCACGGGAUACUGCGAGGCUUGAGUUCGGGAGAGGAAAGCGGAAUUCCGGGUGUAGCGGUGAAAUGCGUAGAUAUCCGGAGGAACACCAGUGGCGAAGGCGGCUUUCUGGACCGACACUGACGCUGAGGCGCGAAAGCUAGGGGAGCAAACGGG